rnacentral:rRNA from 1 species
AUUGAACGCUGGCGGCAUGCUUUACACAUGCAAGUCGAACGGCAGCGGGGGCUUCGGCCUGCCGGCGAGUGGCGAACGGGUGAGUAAUGCAUCGGAACGUGCCCAUGUCGUGGGGGAUAACUACGCGAAAGCGUGGCUAAUACCGCAUACGCCCUGAGGGGGAAAACGGGGGAUCUUUCGGGACCUCGCGCGAUUGGAGCGGCCGAUGUCGGAUUAGCUAGUUGGUGGGGUAAAGGCUCACCAAGGCGACGAUCCGUAGCUGGUCUGAGAGGAUGAUCAGCCACACUGGGACUGAGACACGGCCCAGACUCCUACGGGAGGCAGCAGUGGGGAAUUUUGGACAAUGGGCGCAAGCCUGAUCCAGCCAUGCCGCGUGAGUGAAGAAGGCCUUCGGGUUGUAAAGCUCUUUCGGCCGGGAAGAAAUCGCAUUCUCUAAUAUAGGAUGUGGAUGACGGUACCGGACUAAGAAGCACCGGCUAACUACGUGCCAGCAGCCGCUGUAAUAC